rnacentral:rRNA from 1 species
UACAGAGGGUGCGAGCGUUAAUCGGAAUUACUGGGCGUAAAGCGUGCGUAGACGGUAGCGUAAGUCUGAUGUGAAAUCUCACAGCUUAACUGUGAAACUGCAUUGGAUACUAUCCGGCUCGAGGAAUGGAGGGGAGACUGGAAUACUUGGUGUAGCAGUGAAAUGCGUAGAUAUCAAGUGGAACACCAGUGGCGAAGGCGAGUCUCUGGACAUUUCCUGACGCUGAGGCACGAAAGCCAGGGGAGCAAACGGG